rnacentral:rRNA from 1 species
CGUGGGUAAUCUACCCUCGGGUGGGGAAUAACUCUUCGAAAGGAGAGCUAAUGCCGACAUGUGCAACACUUUUGCAAGGAGGUGUUGGAAAGCCGUACCGUGGGUGCGGCGCCCAAGGAUGAGCUCACGUCCUAUCAGCUUGUUGGUGGGGUAACGGCCCACCAAGGCUCCGACGGGUAGCUGGUCUGAGAGGACGACCAGCCACACUGGCACUGAGACACGGCCCAA